UAUGAAUGCGAAAGGGUAGUCGUCCCUAAUUUCGUUGGAGCAGUGUCUUUUAUAUUGACGUAGUCUUGAGCCACUUUCUUCUGUCUCUCCCACACACACCACACACACUUAAUUUCGAGAUAUGUAAGCUGCUGCCACCGCCACCGCCACCGCACCACCGCCGCCGCCGCCGCCGCGGCAUUUACAGCCACUAAAGGAGGCGUCCAAAGGGAUCGCAUUGAUCCCAACUCAACAAUUUCACUAUAUUCUUUUCUUUUGCUUUUUUUAUUACCAUCUUCUUUAUAUAUUUAGUAUUCAUAUAUUUUGGAUCAUGCUAUCUCUUUGGAUUCAUCCUUUGGUAGCUCCUCACAUGGAGAUCUGGUCAAGAUCAUGCACCAAAACGACGUCGCUGGAUUUGUGUUUAUGGGUCUCAAUGUUUGCUGCUAAACUCUACCUCUCGAUAUAUCUAAACAAAUUAAUAUUACCAAGACAAGGGUACGGAUUAGAAUUGAUGAUUGUGGAGAGAGAGGGGUGUUGGUGUUGUCAGGUGAAAUGAAAGAAUUUUGGACAAGAAACUAUAGGAGAAACAAUGGUUUCAAAAUGGGAAAAUAUGUAGGCCAAAUGUCUGCCUCGUGGACUACAUUUUAUAUAUGUAAAGGACAUGCAUACAAACACAUAUAUUGCCUUAUUCUGUCUACCAACAAUUCAAACUCAUGUCGACCCCAGUUGCAAUUUCCACUGCUUCCACCUUUAUCCAAACUUCUAAUUUUCUUACCCUUUCUAACCUCCAUAAAUAUUAUAUUUAUUUACACA